GUUCAUUUUGAUAGCACCUAUACUAAAAUUGGAAUGAUAUAGGAAGAUUAACAUGGCCCUUGUGUGAGAAAGACAUGAAAACUUGUGAAUCAUUCCAUAUUUUU